ensembl:lncRNA
UCCCACAGGAGUGAGAGUUCAGAGCCUCCCAUCAGGCUCCCCAGCCCGGCGGUCCAGCACCAGGAAGAUGCGCCCUCAGAGCAUUUGGCUUUGAGGCCUAGCAGGCCUUUAUUGCAGGAGCUCCCAGGACUGAGGAAAACAGAGGCUUCACUCUUAGAGGACGUAAACAAAAUCUCACACAGAAGCGGUAAUUUGAUAAGAGCGUGGGCCAGCCCUACCUGCGGGUCUUGGAGAGGCUCCUGGAGAGGUGGUAAGGGGUCGCCUGCAGCUCCUUCCAGAAACACAGACACUGGCGGCAGCCAUGUUUGGGAGCUCCUUCUCGCGAGAACUGCGGACUGGUAGGUGGAGCUUUAACAACAGGGAGGAGUUGCUGGAUGGUUUAUCUCAGGGGAGCCGCAGGACAAGUAGAUCUCUGCACCCACCCACCAGAAUCUUAAAAGAUCAAAGACUGAACAAACAAAUCUAUUGAGCAUUGCUCAAAGCACUGUGGAACAUAUGACCCCAAGAUGUUCAAAACCAAAGAGUAAGCUGCUGCUGCUAAGUCACUUCAGUCGUGUCCAACUCUGUGCGACCCCAUAGACGGCAGCCCACCAGGCUCCUCCAUCCCUGGGAUUCUCCAGGCAAGAACACUGGAGUGGGUUGCCAUUUCCUUCUCCAAUGUGUGAAAGUGAAAAGUGAAAGUGAAGUC